rnacentral:rRNA from 1 species
GGGUCCGCGUCCCAUUAGCUUGUUGGCGGGGUAACGGCCCACCAAGGCAACGAUGGGUAGCCGAUUUGAGAGGAUGAUCGGCCACACUGGAACUGAAACACGGUCCAGACUCCUACGGGAGGCAGCAGUGGGGAAUAUUGCGCAAUGGGCGAAAGCCUGACGCAGCGACGCCGCGUGAGGGAUGAAGGUUUUCGGAUCGUAAACCUCUGUCAGAAGGGAAGAAACUACGUUGUGCUAAUCAGCAGCGUACUGACGGUACCUUCAAAGGAAGCACCGGCUAACUCCGUGCCAGCAGCCGCGGUAAUACGGAGGGUGCAAGCGUUAAUCGGAAUUACUGGGCGUAAAGCGCACGUAGGCUGUAGUGUAAGUCAGGGGUGAAAUCCCACGGCUCAACCGUGGAACUGCCUUUGAUACUGCACAACUUGAAUCCGGGAGAGGGUGGCGGAAUUCCAGGUGUAGGAGUGAAAUCCGUAGAUAUCUGGAGGAACAUCAGUGGCGAAGGCGGCCACCUGGACCGGUAUUGACGCUGAGGUGCGAAAGCGUGGGGAGCAA